rnacentral:rRNA from 1 species
CCUACGGGAGGCUGCAGUGGGGAAUAUUGCACAAUGGACGAAAGUCUGAUGCAGCAACGCCGCGUGCGGGAUGAAGGCCUUCGGGUUGUAAACCGCUUUCACCAGGGACGAAUGUGACGGUACCUGGAGAAGAAGCACCGGCUAACUACGUGCCAGCAGCCGCGGUGAUACGUAGGGUGCGAGCGUUGUCCGGAUUUAUUGGGCGUAAAGAGCUCGUAGGCGGCUUUGUAAGUUGGAUAUUAAAGACCCAGGCUCAACCUGGGGAAAGUAUCCAAGACUGCACGGCUUGAGUGAUGCAGGGGAGAACGGAACUUACAGUGUAGCGGUGGAAUGCGUAGAUAUUGUAAGGAACGCCAAUGGUGAAGACAGUUCUCUGGGCAUUUUCUGACGCUGAGGAGCGAAAGCGUGGGUAGCGAACGGGCUUAGAUACCCUGGUAGUC